rnacentral:lncRNA from 1 species
UCCCUUCAUUUGCUAAGAUGUUCUCAAGUCUCAUUCCUUGGGUAGUUGAACUUCAAUUCCGAUAUAAGUAGGUUUCUAAUCUUGGGUUUUCUGGACUUGGUUGAAACAUGGACUUUUCAGAUCAGAUGGAAAGCUUCUGGUCUUGUUUUCAAUUCUGUUUUAAAGAGAUGAGGAAGAACUGAUGAGGGCUAUGAGGUGUAGCAGGUCAUUGAGUUCAUGACCUUGGCAAGAAUCGAGAUAGGACCGAAGUUUUGGAUGAAGGACAUUAGUCUGAGGCCACCACUGCGUCGAAGAGUUCUGUAAGAUACCUGGGAUCCGAAAGGUUAAAGGUGGUGGAUUGCAGUCACGACAAAUUAGCUUCUAGUUUGGGAGAGAAGAUUGGUAAGGGCCUGAUUUGGUGAUCUUGGAAUUGUUGUGGUUGAAUUGAACAAAAUUGUGAAUUCAUGGUGAAUUAAGCAUGUUGUAAGAUGAUUGGAAAAUGGAUUAAAUGGAGGUUGAAUUGAGGUGACUUUUUAUUUUGAGUUAAAUGCUUAAACAGUUUGGUAAUUGAGAUCAGAUCAAUUUUACUAAGUAAACUAGAUGUUGUAAUUGAUGUUAAUAUUGAG